rnacentral:rRNA from 1 species
GGGUGGUAAUGCCGGAUGCUCCAUCACACUGCAUGGUGUGUUGGGAAAGCCUUUGCGGCAUGGGAUGGGGUCGCGUCCUAUCAGCUUGAUGGCGGGGUAACGGCCCACCAUGGCUUCGACGGGUAGCCGGCCUGAGAGGGCGACCGGCCACAUUGGGACUGAGAUACGGCCCAGACUCCUACGGGAGGCAGCAGUGGGGAAUAUUGCACAAUGGGCGCAAGCCUGAUGCAGCGACGCCGCGUGAGGGAUGGAGGCCUUCGGGUUGUAAACCUCUUUUGUUAGGGAGCAAGGCAUUUUGUGUUGAGUGUACCUUUCGAAUAAGCACCGGCUAACUACGUGCCAGCAGCCGCGGUAAUACGUAGGGUGCAAGCGUUAUCCGGAAUUAUUGGGCGUAAAGGGCUCGUAGGCGGUUCGUCGCGUCCGGUGUGAAAGUCCAUCGCUUAACGGUGGAUCCGCGCCGGGUACGGGCGGGCUUGAGUGCGGUAGGGGAGACUGGAAUUCCCGGUGUAACGGUGGAAUGUGUAGAUAUCGGAAAA